UACAGAGGUCUCAAGCGUUGUUCGGAUUCAUUGGGCGUAAAGGGUGCGUAGGCGGCGCGGUAAGUCGGGUGUGAAAUCUUGGAGCUUAACUCCGAAACUGCAUUCGAUACUGCCGUGCUUGAGGACUGGAGAGGAGACUGGAAUUUACGGUGUAGCGGUGAAAUGCGUAGAUAUCGUAAGGAAGACCAGUGGCGACGGCGGGUCUCUGGACAGUUCCUGACGCUGAGGCACGAAGGCCAGGGGAGCAAACGGG
rnacentral:rRNA from 1 species